rnacentral:rRNA from 1 species
GACGAACGCUGGCGGCGUGCCUAAUACAUGCAAGUAGAACGCUGAAGGAGGAGCUUGCUCUUCUGGAUGAGUUGCGAACGGGUGAGUAACGCGUAGGUAACCUGCCUGGUAGCGGGGGAUAACUAUUGGAAACGAUAGCUAAUACCGCAUAACAGUAGAUGUUGCAUGACAUUUACUUAAAAGGUGCAAUUGCAUCACUACCAGAUGGACCUGCGUUGUAUUAGCUAGUUGGUGGGGUAACGGCCCACCAAGGCGACGAUACAUAGCCGACCUGAGAGGGUGAUCGGCCACACUGGGACUGAGACACGGCCCAGACUCCUACGGGAGGCAGCAGUAGGGAAUCUUCGGCAAUGGACGGAAGUCUGACCGAGCAACGCCGCGUGAGUGAAGAAGGUUUUCGGAUCGUAAAGCUCUGUUGUAAGAGAAGAACGAGUGUGAGAGUGGAAAGUUCACACUGUGACGGUAUCUUACCAGAAAGGGACGGCUAACUACGUG